AACGUAGGUGGCAAGCGUUAUCCGGAAUUACUGGGCGUAAAGGGUGUGCAGGCGGGGAAGCAAGUGGUGUAUGAAAUCUCCCAGCUUAACUGGGAUAGGUUAUGCCAUACUGCUUUUCUAGAGGACGAGAGAGGGGGGUGGAAUUCCGGGUGUAGUGGUGAAAUGCGUAGAGAUCCGGAGGAACCCCAGAGGCGAAGGCGGCCCCCUGGCUCGUACCUGACGCUCAGCCACGAAAGCAUGGGGAGCGAACGGG
rnacentral:rRNA from 1 species